GAAUCAGAUAUGCCUGCAGCCAAAAGGAAAUCAAGCUCUAAGUCUCCGCGCUCUAAAAAAGCGAAAGAGGAGGUCGCUGAUGCACUAACAGAAAACGAGAUAAGCAUGCAAAGUGAAGAUACUAGUGAUGCAAAGACAGAAGAUCAGACUGUAAAUGGUUCAGGAGAUGAUUCUGUCGGAGUAACUGAAAACACUGAAGUCGCUAGUUCUAAUUCAAAUCACGAGGAAACAGCACCCACUGGAAGCAAUGGAACUGCUCAUGUUGAAACAGAAGAAACUGCUGUGAACGUUGUAGAAACUACUGCAUCUGAAAGUAUUGCAGUGGCACCUGUCUCAUACCAAACUCAGCAAACGACCCAGCCUGAAAACCAAGAACAGCAACAGACGAUGCCAGAAUACAAUUCACAAAAUGCAGCUUCUUAUGCGGUACAAAAUGCCCCAACGUACACAGGAUAUGAUAUGCAGCAGUACAAUGUCACCUACCAGAAUCCCUUGACUUUUGGAGCCCCAGUUGCGAUGAUGCAGACUCAACAGAUUGUUGGCAAUCCGGGCGAGGAUUUCUCCCAACCGCCUCCUCCACCGCCGCCUCCGAGUGGUGACCCGGAACCGAAGCCAGAGCUUCCGCAACCAGAGGAACUGAAAGUAACGAUUGAGGAAGAUCAUAAAAUUUACGUUGCGCCGAAAAGAAGAACACUGGCUCUUAAUGAGGGACUUUUAGGAGAUCUGAAGAAUGCGUUUAAAGAAAGCGAAAUUGAAGUUGUAGAGGUGCAAUGUCAACGCAGAACUCACGCUUUCCUCAAAGUAGGAUCUCACAAUGACGUAGAGAAAGCAUGCAAUGAUUUUGACGACAAAUUGAUCUCGGGAGUCAUUUGGUCAGUCAAGCGAAGAAUAGGAAGAGCCGAGUUGCAUAGCGUCUCUUUCAAGCCGAGUAAUUCAGCCUUGCGAGUUGACGAGGAAAUGGCACAAGAAGUUGCCAAGUAUGUGAAGGACGCAUCCUUCCAUGUAUUGAGACACUACUCCACGAGGGACGGAAAGGAGGUAAUAAUCGGACUUGAAACCGAAGAAGAACAAGCCGACAUGGUCAGUAAAUUGGGCAAUGUCGUCAUUGGACACAUCGCAUACACGGUAUCUGUGAAAGAGGACGUUCAACCCGAGGACUCUGACGACCCCGAUUCCGAACCCUUCCUGUUUGCCUCAAUCCGAGGCGACGAUUCAAAGUUCUUCGAUGCUAAUCUAGUGGCAUGUGUUAAGAAACUACUUGAAGAUGAAAAUAUAGAAUUGACGAAGUCAACUGUGACGUCGAAUUGCAGAUUCGCGUUUUUCUUUUUGACCAAGUGGGAAGAUGCGACUAAGUUUGUGGAGAAGUAUGACAACAAGAUCAUCAAUGAGUCGCCACUGCAUUUUGAGAAAGGGCAGCCCAAAAGCCAACGAGAAAAUCGUCCUGCGCGAUUCAACAGAGGCGGAGGAGGGGGUUACAGUGGGCCGUCACGUGGGCGAGGGGGAUACUUCGAUGGAGGAUACAAUAGACCCCCAAGGGGAGGACCCAAUAGCUACUAUGGGGGAGGGGGAUACAACAACAGGGGAGGAGGCGGUGGAUACGGGUACCAGCAGCACCCCCCUCAAAUUCCCGGUCCUUAUGGCUACAGUCCGUAUGCUUACGGUGGAGGUAAGUCGCGUAUUAUUUUGAAACAAUACAUGAAAAAUGCUCGAGAGCACAUAUUUAAUUUUCAAAAACUUUAAGCUUCAUUAACCAUAAUCUUUAAAGUUAGUAGUUAUUGGAAAAGUUAGGAAUUUUACAAGAUAAUUGCUUGCGAAUUUCGGUUGAAAGAAUGUUUGAGUAUCCAAAUUAAUUAAUCAUUUUCAAGUAAACUUUACAGGCGUUUAAUUUAAAUAGAAUUUUAGAGAUGCACUUAGUUUCAAAAUGUUUUUAAAUGACUUUAAUGAAGCUAGCGGCGCAAUAUUCUUAAAAAAUGAUGUAUUUAAAAAUGUGUUCUCACCGAAAUAAUCAAGAUUUUUCAGAAAUUUUAAUAAAUCAAAUUAAUGAUUCAGGGAAUCAAGUGCUAAAAUGUAAUUUAUUUUCAGGAAAUCAGCGUUUGUUUUUCCGCUGGUCUAAAAUUUUGUUUUAAAAUGUAUGUAGUUUUGAGCUCUGACAAAAUUCUGAAUAUUACAAACAUUUUGAUUUACAAAAAUUUUUAUAUUACUGAAGUUAACGGCUAGUAGAACUUCAGUUUUCAACCCCCGUGGAUCCUGAUAGACGGUUUCUGUCGCCAUGGUUAAAAGGCACAACAGAACUCAUUUUCUACGUGUAAGUAUUCGAUAUUUUGAAUUGAAAACCGAAUCAAAUACAGAUAGACAUAAUCUUGUAUCAGGUUAGGCUAGUUGGAUAUGAAAAAAUUAUAUAUGCGAAAUUUGGCCUGAAACUUGAAAAAAGUUUGACGCUUUGCUCAUCUUGACGGUAUCGAUUUUGAUGAACCGGUCAUUCGAAUCUGCCGAGUACUAUUUGACUGACGUAUAUUUACAUUUACCAGCCAAUUUCAUUAAUUCAUCAUUAUCCAGUGAAAAGAUCCAAAAUUUCUUAAUGAGCCAUGACAAAUCUUAAGCAAAACAAUAAAUUGAAACAUCAGUGAAUGCAGAAACAGAACUCAAAAAUACCAAACGUUUUCCGAAUUCUAGAUUUACAGGUUAUGAUUUAAGUGCAAUAAACGAUGUGUAUUUUUUGUUCCAUGCUCCGUUGAAUCUUGAGUUUUCUCCGAACUAGCUCUAAAUUAGCCUAACUCUUACUUAUUUAGGUCCAUAGUUAAUAAGUUUUUAAGAGUCGAUGAACAUAGUGAUGAUUUUUUUCAGGAAAAAUCUUAAAAUUUGUUCAUGCUCAAAUUUAGUUUUCCGCGGUUUGACUUUUGAUUUCUUUUUAAGUUCAGUUCAUUUCCUUAGUUAAAAGGAAGGCAAACUCCACUAUCGAACAGCAAAAGUGUAAAGUUCACGAAAAACGUGAUCGACUUCUAGUUUCGAAAGUUGGUUUUUAUUUUCAGACUUCAUAAGCGGAAUAAAAAGGUGGACAUUGAUCUAGGUUUCUCGAAUUGGGUUAAUUUUAUCAAAAAAGUGUCAAUUAUUAAUUGUUGUAAAAAUUCAAAGAGCUUAAAGGCCUUCUAAUUUUUUCGGAGAUGCGAGAUUGAGUUUUUUUCCAAAUACAUGUUAAUAUAUUUUUUUCCUGUUUACUUGCGUUCAAUGACGAAUUCCAGCUGCCUGUGGGCUAUAUUUCAAGAAAUAGCUGAAUUUUAACUCCGCUGAUAUUUUUUGCGUUUUGAUUUCUUUAUAAGUUGAUUUCAGAUCCAUUUGCUGAAAAUAAAGCAGAUGCGCCUUGCUCUUUAAUAACAAUUGUGCAAAGUUUUCAAAGUUGCUUUUUUUUCCUACUUCAUGAGUUCAUUAGCACUUCUCGCAGUCGAUUUGCUAUGUUCUUAGGCCUAAUGGAAAAGUAUUUUUAUUUGGUGUAAUUUUGGGUGAAAAUGAUAACAAAAGAUAAAACUAGACUGAGACUUGCUAUAACUUACUGAGAAAAAAUAUUUCUUAAAAAAUAUUUAUGUCACUGAAGAAAUGAUGCAAAGUUUUUACUGCCUUGAAAUUGCAGAAAUUUAAACUCGUUUUUGAGUAGAACUCAAUUAAAGCGCAUAACUUUUUAUUUGUUGGUAAAAAAAUUAAUGAUUUUUUUUUUCAUUUUUGAAGGGAUAAUUUUUAGUGGUUGAUGAUUUAAAGAUGAGUUAAGUCAAAUCAUGGAUGAUAUAUGUAUUUUUUACAGAAAACUUUUUUUCGAAAAGAACUACUUUAUAUUUUAGUUAAUUGAAUUGAUCGUCAUGUGUUGCUUAUAAUUCAAAUUGAGGCGUUCAUCUCAAAUUGAAUUUUAUGUUAUGUUAGUAUUGUCGGAAAUGAUUUGACAGAAUUUUAAUAACUCCUAUAGCAUUAGUGAGAAAUGACAAAAAAUUAAAAUAGACCGAGAUCUGCAAUACUUCACUGAAAUUUUUUCGUAAUGAAUAUUUAUGUCACUCAAUAAAUUUUGCAAAGCUUUUAGUGCCUUAAAGUUUGCAGAAAUUUGAACUCAUUUUCAGAGUAGAACUAAACUAAAGCUCAUAAGUUUUUGUUUAUUUAAGAAAUUAUUAAUGGGGUUUCUUUUUUUCAUGUUACUGUGUUUUAAGGGGUUGAUGAUUGGAUGAUUCAAGUCCAAUCAUAAUGAUUUGAGUUGAGCGGCCCAUGUUGCUUAUUGUUUAAAGGCGUUCAUCUCAGCUGGAUUUAUAUGAGGCCUUUAAUGUCACAGUGCUGACAUAAUUUUAACUUUCUUGCGUAAAAACAACGUUAUAUGUAGAAAUAUGUCGUAUCACGGUUGUUAGUGAAAUUGUCCAAUUUCUUGUUAUUCGAAUGAGAAAAUUCAAAAAUUCUUCAAUCGUGUGGAAUUUUAUUACAGAAAAUCAGCUUAUUAGCUGUUAGAAAACUUAAAAAAAAAACAAUUUACGGCAAAAAAGUGCGAAAAAAGUAAGAUGAACAAAAGUGACGGCUAGAGGAUAUCAAGUACCGAUUGAUAAUUGCUCAAGACAACAACAAGAAGCAAACCAGAGCUGAACUGCAUUUAACUUGUGAGUUUGUGAGUAAGUAUUCAAUAGUUUGAAUUUAAAUCCAAAACAACUACAGAUUGGUCUAAUCUAGUAUCAAGCUUAGACGGGACAGUACAACAGUGCCGAACUACAACAUUGCCGAAAAUCAGAAUGUUGUUCAGCAGUGCCGAAUUUUUUUUGAAUACUGUUGUAAUUCGUCCUAAAUCACUGACAAGUAAUUAUAUUCAAAUCGACGGAAGAUGAAAAGAUGAAUUGGCCAUCUUAAUUGAUGCUGCUUGUUAAACAUUUAAAGUUCCCCAAGCGCGGCGUCAUAAUAUUUUCUGAACAAGCAAUCAUCUCAGCAAAUGGUGAAAAUUUCUCAGUUUCGCGGCAAAGCAAAACAGUAGUCACGCAAAACGGAGCCGAAUAGCCGAAAAAAAAUUUUCCGGCUAGCCGAAAAAUUAAUUCGUUCCCGGAUAGGCAUUUUUUGGUCCCCGGAUAGCCGUUGAUUAAUACAAUAAACCAUGUAACAUAUUACCAUCUUAAUAUAUAACCGACAAAUAUUAAUAAAGACAAUUUUUUUUCAUUGACAACCCCCAGUCUUAAGGUGUUGUUUAGUUAUUGUGUUUGAAAAAGUAGUAAUCCCCCUGACCCCGCCCGCUCCACACCCCUGUUUGAAGAAGUGGUUAACUUUGUAGGGGGUUGGGGCUUGGGUGAGUUGAAUUGAGGAGAGGGGAGGGGUGUAUGAGAUCGGUUGCAUAAGUGCCGUGCAAUUAUAAUCGGACAAUGUUUUUGACAAUUAAUGAUUUUUUUUUUUCAUUUUUAAAGGGACAAUUUUUAGUGGUUGAUGAUUUAAAGAUGAGUUAAGUCCAAUCAUGGAUGAUAUGUGUAAUACUGUUUUGAAUACUGUUUUCAUUCGUCCUAAAUCACUGACAAGUAAUUAUAUUCAAAUGGACGGAAGAUGAAACGAUGAAUUGGCCAUCUUAAUUGAUGAAUUGACCACGAAAAUUGAUUAUUAUAUAAAACACAUUAACUUAGAAAAAAAUUGUGCGUUAAAAAGUAGUAGGACUUUUGUUUUUAGGAAAUUUGACGAGAGUAAACGUAUUAGCUAAUCAAAUCUCCUAAAGAUGUUCGGUAUUUUGUUUGCUAACAAGCUGCUUAAUUUGAGGAACUUUUUAUCCAUCAAAAUGAGUCAGUUUAUUGUCGAAUUUUCUAAUGAAUUUAGUUAAGUGGAGGUAUUUUUCGGCUAUCCGGGAAUGCUUGUCAUCUGAAUCAUGUUUUGAUGACAAAUUUGCGUCAGUGUCCUGCAAAUUGUUGAAAAUGAAGUUUAUUAGCAAGUAAAGAUCUUCAAUAAAACACUUAAGAAACUGAAAAGACUCAAAAAACAUAAAUGCAGCCGUGUUUUAGUGGAAAACCUUUUUGUAGUUCAAUGUACUGAUAUCUAGAUUUGCUGUUUUUGACUAUUUUGUUUUUCUCAGGUUCAGUAUCUGUGUACUGCUUAACCACAUUUUUUAUGGUAAUUUAAUUGCAUGUGUUUUAUCCGCAUUAUUAGUGACUGAUGUGAUGUCGACUGGUAGGUGCUAUGGCGCAGCUGUGAAGACAUCAGAACUUAACUAUGGAGGCAAAGGGUUCGAAUCUUGUGUGGGUAUUUUCAAUUUUUUUGCUUUUUGCUAAGUGCAGCUUUGCCUUAAUCAAAUAAUUUGAAAAAUAGGAAUUAUUUGGGAUUUUUUCGGUUGUUUGUUGAUUAUACAUACUGCAUGUUAGCCAGUUUUAAGGUUUAACUGCUGAGUCGGCUCGAACCGUCGAAACCAGAUUUCUAAAACCUUGUUAGGACUAAUGUUUUGUAAUUUGCAUUUAUUGAAUUGCAAUCGUCACCCAAACGAGCUAGUUUAACCAAACGAGCUAGCGAGCGUAGGGUCAUAUUUUGAAUCCGAUUUUUCCAACGCAAAUUGUGCUCAUUUUGGGGUGCUUUUGCUGCAUACGUGGCUAGUGAUCACGUGAAUCCAAGCGACCGUGGCUCAUUUCAUGAGGUGAUACUUAAUAUGCAGAUUGGUACUUCGAUUCCGUUAUGAGCAAAAAAAAACUUUCAAGGCUUAAUUUUACCUCUUCUUUCCUUAUUUUGCUUGCAUAGAUUUUCAGAGCUACUUUUUGACAUUUUUUAGCUUGUUAACGAAGUGCAGCUUCGCCUUUGUGUCAAUUACGGAGCCGGUCAAAUAAUGCUACCGGAAUUGUCAGAGAAUGUUCGCGAAAACGGGCAAUUUAAUUAAUUUCUAAGUCAUUCGAGAGAUAACACCUAAGCAUACAGCUUUUUACAAAUUAAUUAAGCUGAAUCAGCUAUUUGCAGCAAGCAGACGACAAUGCCUCAGCGACAUUGAAUGUUGUAGUUUUAAGUUAUGCUUCAUUUGCUUUGCGACGAAAUAAAGCUAGCUCAGUCUUGUGUCGACGAAGUUUUGCCUGCAACGAGUUUUCGCCAUGACCGAUUUAGGUAAUAGUGUUUCUUGUGGUUAGGCGACAGUUUCAUUCUUCCUUUUGCAACCUCUUCGCUUGAAACCCGUUUAUAAAUUGAAGAUAAUCGAAUGAAUUUGUAAAUUAGCUUUGAAUGAUUUGAUGUUGAUAUGUUUUGUGUUUCUGGAAUGCUCCACUUCAACUCCAGGAAUGUUGUGUUAUGUUAAAACGGCAUUUUUCGCUGUGUAGAACUCACAGAUUGGCUCAAAUAUACAUUCCGUUUGAUGAUGAAUUGGCGCAUAAGACACAUGUUCGCAAAAGGUUUGCGUGCCAUAUUUGAUAUACUAGUGAAAUAUUUUAAACACUAUUGCAAUUUUUGAAACAAUAGUGCAACAUUUUCCUAGGAAAAUCAAGCAAAACUAACUAAGAGUUAAAAAUCACGUGCUAGCGUGAAAUUUUUAAAUUUUGUGUUUUUUACAUUUCCACCUGUUUCAUACCAGAUAGCAACCGCUUAUAUUGCAUCUCGAAAAUUGUUCCGAUUUCGACACUGAGUGUCUUGUUUUGCUUACAAAAUUUAGCGGUUGUAUCUACGACAUAAUUGUCUCAAGGUUUUUUUAUCGAACUCUUUUUUUACGUGUUACUUUGUACGUUACUGCAAAGCAAAAAAGGUUCUGCCCAUAGUUUAUAUUGUGGCAAGUUAAUUAAAAAUGGAAGUUUUGCUGAUUUAUACAAAAAUUACUUAAAUAAUUACAAAAAAUAAUAAGCUGCCAAGCAAUUCUUUAAUUGCCAUUACAUUUCAACAAUUUUUGUGAAUUGUUCCUAAACUGAGAGUCACUUGUUUAUUUCACCAACUGGCCUCUUUUUUGAGCAAAUUGAAGAGUAGUUUGUCGAUGAUUACUUUUUGUGGAAAUGAUGUUUUCUUCACGAAGGAAGUCAUUGUUUAAAACUUUUUUCCAACUUUCAUUGAUGAAUGGGUUUUUAUCUAUAGGGUAGGUCACGGUUUUUUCGGCAAAUAUCAAGUAUAUUUUAGUUCGAAGUAAACUUUAGCUCAUAUGAGCUUGUAUGAAAAUUGCGCAGGUAGCAUCAAUUGAACUCGAGUGAAAAUAACUGUCUAGAAUAAAAGCAAAAAUAGUGGUGAAUAAUCUUUUUUAAUUUUAAACUGGGGCUCUAAUUCAUGCGAAGCGCUCAAACGAUGAAGCUCCUUUCACUGCUGUGUAAAAGUUAGCCAGCCAUUUGAACCCACCUAACAAAAAUAUUCAGGUGGGUUUUCGGUAGCGAAGAAUACAUUUUCGUUUUCAAUAUCUUAUUCAUAGUAGUUUCAAUUUUACCUUUUCCGUUCAGUGAUGUUCAGAUGAAACGGUUUUGAAAGAAACAUAUGUUCAAUUUGAAGUGAUUGGAAUUCGUUAAGAACCAAUUUGACUGUGUAUCUCUUUUAGGAGAGAAUCGAUUGUUCGGGGCUCAGGAUUGGAGCAGUAGUAAUAAAUCCUAGUUUCACUUGCUUUCAAGAACAAACCAAAAGUAACAAAAAAAACAAAUAUAGCACACGAUUUGAAGUAAAUUUUGCCUCGUUCAUUUUUACAGGCAUUUGAGUGCUUAUAAAAGCAGCAAAAUUUGCCAACGCAAAGCUUAUGGCCAUCUAAUAGAUUCUUUUAAAAGAUAUCAUUUCAAUUUAUCAUUAAAUCUCUUCGAACAAAACUGUUAGAACUCAAUUGCAAAAAAUGUAUAAUUGGAGGCUAAUAAACCAAGGGUACUAAAAGUCAUCGUGACCCGUCAAAAUCAGAAAUCUUCACUCUACACGUCCACUUGACCUUUGACCCCGGGGAAGGGGAAGGAAGACUGCUGGAGCCCCGACCGGUCGAAAAGAGGGCGUUACGCCGGUGGUCCUAGAGGAGGGGGAGGGUACUACAACUACCACCAGCCGCAGCCCAGAGGCGGAGCACCAGGUUACGGUAGGUGGUGAUACGAUGAUUUGG